GGCACUUGUCGAUCUCGAUGGUCGAUUCUUUGGGGGACGAGUGGUUCAUGCAACCUUUUAUGACGAAGAGCGGUUCGGUAAGAACGAAUUGGCUCCUAUGCCAGGUGAAAUCCCUGGUUUCUAACAGGUGACAUGGGAGUAAAAGGCUUAAAACAUCGCCAUGACUCAGCACUUUUGGACAUCAAUUUAUAUGUUUUGUGUCUGAGCAAUGCGCAUGAUUUUCUUGGACCGGGAAAAGGUUGUUUGAUUAGGGAUUGUUAUCAUUUUGUUAGCAAGCACACUUAAAAGACAACCAAAUAUGAUUUUCUUUUGAACCAUCAAUCUUGGGACUUUUUAUGUGCACUUCUGCCGUUAAGUGUGUCAUGCUCAAAAGCUUUGUCGCUCCUAUUAAUUGCAAACGGCACCUAUUUCUACAUUUAUGGUUCUAAGACUGGUAACUGAUCAUUAUUCAUCGAUAGAUAGGAGAUUUAAUUGUAAAUGGAAGGAGCAUGUUUAUGAAGAAUCCAUGUUGUUAACUGCUCAA